GAGAUGAUGGCUCAGUGGUUAAGAGCAUGGAUUGCUCUUCCAGAGGUCCUGAGUUCAAUUCUCAACAACCACA
rnacentral:tRNA from 1 species